UUUACAACGUGAUAAAGAAUUUUUGAACAUGGUAGAUAUGUUUUCUAAAGUGCAAGGGUGAUGUUGUCGGUACUGUAUUUGUGAUCUAAUAUGCUAUUGGCUCAUUCCUGAUUCCAGGAAACAUUCAUACAUUCAUAUGGUUACGGUUUCAACUCAGUUGUACAUGAGAGGCGUGCUACUUGUUUAACCCAUUAUGUGACAGCACUGGCAAGUAAAA